UAAAAAAGCCCAGGUAAUGAGUUUGACCGAGACAAUCCCAUCUCUUCUUACAUCCGUACAUCAUGUUACUUUUUUUCUCACACCUGCAUCUUCAGCGGAGGUGCGACUCGUAAGAAACGAGGCUGCCGUCCGCUGAGAAGCAUUGUAACGUUUAAGGUUUGAUGAUGCCUUCAUGAGCCCAUAAUGAGAAGGAAUGGGGGUCGACCGGCGACGUUAACCCACUAAUAAAAUCUGCCUCCCUUUAAAGGGUGUGAGAAAACCACAAUUACCCCCCUGACAUUUUUCUACUGCAUGAUUUAUGAACUGAAUAUUGCAUCUCCCUCUCUAACCCUUAUUCUAGCUGGGGAGUAAUAAAGGGAAGUUAAGGGGCAGUAUUGACCGGCCUAAAAGUAGUCUUUGAUUUGCCACAGACCCGCGGAUGAACGGGGGAGAGGAGAGGAGAGGAGAAAAGAGGAGAGGAAAAGUGAGGAGAGCUCAGCUAUUGAUGAGUUUUUCUCUCCCACGGCCCUCCACCAUGCGGCCGCCGGCCGUCUGGACACCCGCCACGUGUGAACAAGCUUUCAGCUCACAUCAUCUUCUCCACUUCCACCUAUAAUUGGCCAUAUGUGUCACCAGCGCCCUGCUGCCACUGCUGCUGCUGCCGCUGCUGCUUCUGGAGGGGAGGAAAAAGGAGAUCACAGCUUUGACAAGGGGGGAAAAUCCAUCCAUGACACCUAAAAGUGACAGAGCAGGUGGCCACCUCAGGCGCAGACCUGCUGAGCCGCAUGUCCCAGCAAGACCAAUACCAUCACAAACAAAGAGUGGGGCCCCAUGGAGCACACAUGUGGAGAGAAGGUCACCGACCGUGCUGAACCUGCCGACACAAACAGCAUCAUCCACCCUGUCGAGACCACAUCUCGGAGAGCCCCCCCCCCCCCGGUUCAGAUUCUGGACGUCCCCCGGUCCCCCUGUGCCUGUCGGGGUAAAUUACUGUCAUCCCAGCGCUGCCGAGCUCUACACAUAGCCUAUUAAAAUGUAUGGAGACAUUCACGUCACAUGAAAUUUAUUAUUCUAAGAUGGCUUGAGAGCACAUAUCCAUAUAUCCUCCAUGCUUAUAGGCAGUGUUCUUCUUGGGUUUUAUAUGUUAAUCCUGAUUAUCGCAGAUGUACUUCAAGGAAGCUGUUUGGGUUACAACACCACUCAGACACAUCUGCAGGCUCCGUGAUCUGAAGUGUGACUCGGUAUCCUCGAGCAUAGAAGAAGCCGUUGAUGAUGAAAUAAAAGCAUUUGCUGGUCUCUCGCCCCUGAUGAUGGCAUUAUUUGUCCGUGUCUUCCAAACAUUAAAGUAUCUAAAUAAAUAAAUCUUCA